GAUGAACGCUGGCGGCGUGCCUAACACAUGCAAGUCGAGCGGUAUAUGCUGGAACGAAACUUCGGUCUAGAGAAGGCAUAGAGAGCGGCGGACGGGUGAGUAACGCGUAGGCAACCUGCCCCAUACAGAGGGAUAGCCUCGGGAAACCGGGAUUAAAACCUCAUGACACGAGAGAUUCACAUGGACCUUUCGUCAAAGAUUCAUCGGUAUGGGAUGGGCCUGCGUCUGAUUAGCUAGUUGGUGAGGUAACGGCUCACCAAGGCGACGAUCAGUAGCCGACCUGAGAGGGUAAUCGGCCACAUUGGAACUGAGACACGGUCCAAACACCUACGGGUGGCUG
rnacentral:rRNA from 1 species